GUCAGAUAGCAGACUUGUUUCAGUAUGACUUUACAAGGAUUUAGUACUGUGUAAACAACACUUGCAAGGUUUUCUCUUUACUGCUGAGUAAAACCAGUAGCAGGAAGAACCACCUUUGAUUUUUGUACCAUGAAAGAAAUCUCAUCAAGUUUGCAAUAUCUGGCCUUUUUUUGCUGGACUGAAGUUUUCUGUCACAAAUGUACACGUCGUGUCUGGUGUUCUCUGUGUCUUCAAGUUGUCAGUGAUCCUGACAUCUGUCUACUAUUCCCAAAGUCAGAGUUUCCUUUCUUAGUCAAUGACUGCCCGUAACGUACAUAAAAGUGUAACUUCCAUCAACUCAACUGAAUUACUGAAUACUUUUUGGAAUGUGAUGAGGAGAAAAUCUUUGCACUUAACUGCAUAGUACGUAAAUUAAUUCUAUGGAAACAUCUCUACAGCUGCAUAAACCAGAAAAUCUCAGUGCUGAGAGAUGUCAGAAAUUUAAGAGCAUAGUAUAUACAUCAUGCAGAAAUGUUGUCCUUUGUCAGAGGAAUUGUCAUAUUGAGGGUCCUGCAGUUGCCAAAAAUAUAAUGUGAGAAAAUUUUCAUCUUCUCUGAACUGGACCCAAAUUAUGAGACCAUUCAAAACAUUCUGAAUUAAGUCUUUUUUUUGUCACCAAUUCAUAACUUUUUAAAAUAUAAGAAAAAUAUGUAUGUUAUAUUGUCUGGGAAACAUUUCUUUUGAAGCAUUGCAAACCAAGAAUUUUAUUCCUGUCUUUUUCCCCCACCUUCCAUUCUUCAGGUUAUUUGAAAAACUGUCUCUUUUACAAACCACAUUAGGUUUAUUGUAUGCAUUAAAUGAAAGGCUCUCAACUUCCAGAGCAGGCUGUAUGAACAAUUGCCUGGCAUGUACAUCAAGAAGCAUCCUACCUAAGUGCAAUGAAUUUAGUUUGUGUUAAUUACAAGGUGCAUUUGACUGUGUCUAUAUGAUAGAUUAACAGUUCCAAAUAACAUCAUAUGCAAAUGAAAGGAAAUUCUUUUUCCAUUUUAUAGCAAAGAUGAGAAAUACAGUAUAUUCUGAAAAGGAAUAUGAAUGCAGCUAUGCCAGCAGCUUGCUAGUCUGUAUAUAUCCACUCUCACGGAUAUAACAAAACUUACCUGAAAAUGAAUUAUUACAAUGUU